rnacentral:rRNA from 1 species
CGCGUAGGCGGCCUCCGCAAGUCAAUUGUGAAAUCUCCGAGCUUAACUCGGAAAGGUCAACUGAUACUGCGGGGCUAGAGUGCGGAAGGGGCAACUGGAAUUCUUGGUGUAGCGGUGAAAUGCGUAGAUAUCAAGAGGAACACCUGCGGCGAAGGCGGGUUGCUGGGCCGACACUGACGCUGAGGCGCGAAAGCGUGGGAGCAAACA